rnacentral:rRNA from 1 species
CCCUUAGAUGUCCUGGGCCGCACGCGCGCUACACUGACAUGUUCAACAAGUUUCUCCUAGUUCGACAGGACUGGGAAAUCUUUGAACGCAUGUCGUGAUAGGGAUAGAUCAUUGCAAUUAUUGAUCUUGAACGAGGAAUUCCUAGUAAACGCGAGUCAUCAGCUCGCAUUGAUUACGUCCCUGCCCUUUGUACACACCGCCCGUCGCACCUACCGAUUGAAUGUUUCGGUGAAGAUUCCGGAUAGGACUGAUUUGAUUUAUUUCAUUUCUGACCUAAAAGCUAUCUAAACCUCAACAUAUAGAGGAAGGUGAAGUCGUAACA